AAGAUUCCCUUCCCCCCGAACCCUAGCAGUCGGCUCCUCCCUCUAGCAAUCCGCGCCGCCCGCCCCUCCAUCCCCACUCUCCUCCUCCCAUGGUUCAUCCAAAUCUUAGCUUCCAAAUACUUCAAAUUUUGCAGUGCUCCACCCAACAAUGGAGCCAAUUGAUGUACAGCUCUGCGCCGCUGCGUCCCGAAGCGGCCGAGGCACAUCUCCCGGCCUGUCGCGGGCGCGGCCAGCAUUGGCUCGAGCACGGCACCUAGGUGCCGCUGCAACCUUGCAUCCGCUUCGACACGGCCACCAGAGCGUCCAUGGUUCGGGCGUUGCUGCGUCCCCUAGUAGCUUGGGCACUUCUCCCGGUCUCAGUCGGGCGCGGCCGGCCUUGGCGCUAGCCCGGCACCCAGUUGCGGCCGUCGGUAGAGCUCCCGCUGCAGAUGUGCCGGGCAGCGCGUUAGUGCGGGAGAUCUCCACCGGGAGGCAUUUGGUUAUUAUCCCGAUGUGUGCUGCUGCAGGUAUGCCCCCGCCGGCCAAUACCAUCCUUCAUCCUAGGAGACUGUUUUAGCCCUGACAAUUGCUGUGGUAGAUCUCUGGCGUCGAUUGCCAUGCCCUAACUCACAGGUAAGUGCUCCAAAUACAGUACCCCAAACCCGUGUGCUUCUAUUGUUCUGCUCUAGUUUCUCAAUUGAUGUUGGUUGAAAUGGCUCUUUCUUGAAAAUAAUAGUUAUAGCCAUAUCCUCAGGUCAACAGUAAUCAAUUUGUGCUGUUUGUUCAAGUAAUAUCACUGAACUUAUGGUUAGUCAACUUCAGGGAUGUAUGUAUGUGUUUAUUUGAGUGUCAAAAUCAGAAAUUUGUGUGAUAUUUUCAUCUACAGAUUGGGGCACACUUAAUUUUUGGUUGCACAAAGCCUUCUAUGCCGUAUAUGCCAUGGCAUUUAGUCCAUGAAUUGUCCUAUACUAUGGUUUAUGGCUUUAAGAUGCUCAUCUGCUAUGGGCAAGAAAGAGGAACCUGUAAGAAAUUUAUGCACCAAAAGCAUAUUUGUCCAAAUUUAAUUUUUUGAUAACUGAAGAUCUGAUUACUGAAGCAUGUGAUGUUUGCGCUGUUCUUCAUUCUACAACAAUGGUCAGAGAUGCAAGCAUGCGACUUAUUAUGCAUUUUUUGUCUCUUAUCUUUAUCAAUCUAAAGAAAAUGUUAUUACUAUAGUUUCAUUUAUGCAGGAAGCUCUGUUUCAUCAGAUUGACUUUAAUUAGUUCUUCUAAAUUUCAUGAAUGUGUUAAUCUCUGAAUAACAUGCUUCUGACUAAAAUUCAAGCCAGCUGGCCUCCUGUAGUCCGAUUCAACAGUGCUAUGUUGUUGAUUGAUACGUUGUCUCAACCUUUAUUCUCAGAAAAUCUUAGUCUGAAAGAAAAGAAACCUGGAAUAAAACAAGAGUAGGUCUAUUUCAAUUGUCUUUUUCUCAUUUGAAAUAUUUGUUCAUGAGCAUUCGGAAACCAGAAAAAAAUUAUACUGAAUAAUGUUCACCUUCUGCCCCUGAUCUAAGGAAGUCCCUGGCUGUAGUAAUUAUGUUAGAAGAUGACUCCCCACAUGAUUUAGUUUAUGCCUGUUGGAUGUGAGAAUUUGGUCUGGCUAUCUAUGUGCUCUCCUACUGUGGUUAAUGUAUCAUUUAACAAGGCUUCUUAAUUCUACCACUCUAUUAUGUUGCUUCACGGCCUGUCAAUACUAGAUUGCCACAAGCAAACAUUCUUUGCUUAUUGCCUAUGGACAGCACAUUUGGUCUACUAUAACACAUGAUGCACUAAUGAAUUGUUUGAUUGAAGUAAAUAUGUAAGGCUAUGAUUUGUUUCAAUCUGACUUUUGUUCUUAAGCCACUAGAGUAAUAAAGUUAAUCAGUUGGCUUUUGUGGCAGGUCUGUUGAGGGUUGACUCAAAAUGGAUGGCUUCUUAUGAUGUGCCAUGGCAACAAAGAACUAAUGAAUCUUUGCUUGGCUUGCUGUUUUGGAUGACCCUCCUUAUGUUCUAAUUACCACAACCGGAACAGAUCUUCCUAAUUGUACGAAGAGCUUGAGGUAGAGAAGCGUGCAGAAGCAGAUCAUCUAGACAAACUUUUGGUUAGUAGGAUGAGUUGGAUACUUGUAAUAAGUGUGUAUGCUAAUUUGUGGUUGUCACACAAUAUUUGUAAUUGUGAUACUGUAUUCUGCUACUUGAGAUUUUGUUUAGUAUGUGCAAAUUGAGCAUUAAGGAUCAAAUGGAGUGGGCAUUGAAAAAAA